GUCUAUGGCCAUACCACCCUGGAUGCACCCAAUCUUAUCUGAUCUCAGAAGCUAAGCAGGGUCGGGCCUAAUUAGUACUUAGAUGGAAGGAACCAAAAAGUUAAUAGCAUUAUAAGUA
rnacentral:rRNA from 1 species